rnacentral:rRNA from 1 species
AGUGAACGCUGGCGGUAGGCCUAACACAUGCAAGUCGAACGGCAGCACAGUAAGAGCUUGCUCUUACGGGUGGCGAGUGGCGGACGGGUGAGGAAUACAUCGGAAUCUACUUUUUCGUGGGGGAUAACGUAGGGAAACUUACGCUAAUACCGCAUACGACCUACGGGUGAAAGCAGGGGAUCUUCGGACCUUGCGCGAUUGAAUGAGCCGAUGUCGGAUUAGCUAGUUGGCGGGGUAAAGGCCCACCAAGGCGACGAUCCGUAGCUGGUCUGAGAGGAUGAUCAGCCACACGGGAACUGAGACACGGUCCAGACUCCUACGGGAGGCAGCAGUGGGGAAUAUUGGACAAUGGGCGCAAGCCUGAUCCAGCCAUACCGCGUGGGUGAAGAAGGCCUUCGGGUUGUAAAGCCCUUUUGUUGGGAAAGAAAAGCAGCAGGUUAAUACCCCGCUGUUCUGGCGGUACCCAAAGAAUAAGCACCGGCUAACUCCGUG